rfam:Candidatus Burkholderia kirkii strain TZHbot2 BPTNctg124, whole genome shotgun sequence.
GUCAAGCACCCCGGCCUGCAGGCCGGAGCGUGUGAAGCGAUUCACUCGCUCGAGUUUGACCAGACCGAGCGCCUUCGGGCGCUACGUUGUGCAGAAGACAGCAGACCCACCGCCGAAUGCUUCCUCAGUUCGGCGCACUGGAAGUCGCAGCAGCAGACACGGUUCGGGUAACCACGAAACGGGCUGCGACGGGUGAGCCAACUCACCACCUGCUGCACAACAUGGUCGAGGGGAGCCAUGC